UCCCUGGUGGCUCAGACGGUAAAGCAUCUGCCUACAAUGCGGAAGGCCUGGGUUCAAUUCCUGGGUUGGGAA
rnacentral:tRNA from 1 species